AGCAAUUAUGUAUUAUGACAUAGUGACAUACACGCAAUGAGUUGUGCCAGUGAUUUAUCUAAUACAAUUCAGAGGAAAGUUUCGAAUUGAAAUAACGUGACUUCUGGCUUGAAUCGGAAGUUUCUAUAUAGUUAGUCGGGGGCUACUGCCCUUCUGGUUUCCAUUUUUUGUUUCAUCUUUUAUCUGCCUAACUCUGUUCGUGCGUUAAGGAAGGACAGACAGACGUACGAGCUAGACUACAGUGGGAAUUUAUAGGACUAAAUUUUUUUAUAAUUGCAGUCUAAUAAAUAACUACAUUGCAAAAUUGAAUUAUUCUUAAUUAUUAUUAAUUCUUAUAUGUGGUCAGAUUAAUUUCCUGUUACGUUUAAGGAUCCAAAAGUUUGAGAACGGCUUAUAGUUCCUUGCUUUGAAUAGUUUAAAACACCGACGUACUAUCUCCUUCAAAGUAAUCCUCUUGGUCGACGAUACACCGUUUACCAGCGCUGGUACAGCUUGUGGAAGAUUUAUUGUAAGCCAUCUGACAAAAACUGUGAAUAAGAAACUUCUCAUCAAAUCAGCAAAUGCACGUUGUAUUUGCUUUACAA